UUUAAAUAUUCUUCCUUUGUUAUUAUUUUUAUAUCUUCUUCAGUCAUUUGAUUCAUCUAUUUCGCUAUCUAUUUCAUUAUCUGUUUCGUUUUCUGAAAUUUCAUAUAUACUAUCUUCACUUUCUAAUUCAUAAUCUAUAUAAUCUAUCUGCAUGUAUUCGGUAUUUUCUAUUUUUAUUUCUGAUAUUUGUUUAUUUUUUGGAUUUUUAGG
rnacentral:lncRNA from 1 species